UGAGAUCAAAGAAGAGUGGUCGUGCCGUAAAAAGAUAUUCAAGGCCCGAUCCAAGCUACUUUUAACCUGUAGCCCACAUGGCCAAGAAGAAGGAGAGAAAAAGCAGCCUGCACGCAUAAGGAGGCUUGUGAUGGAGGAAUCCAAUAGUGAAGAGGAAGAAAAAGCUUUCAUAUUUAGCAAGGAGGUAGAACAAAGAAACUGAG
rnacentral:lncRNA from 1 species